rnacentral:rRNA from 1 species
CCUACGGGCGACUGCAGUGGGGAAUAUUGGACAAUGGGGGGAACCCUGAUCCAGCGACGCCGCGUGAGUGAAGAAGUAUUUCGGUAUGUAAAGCUCUAUCAGCAGGGAAGAAAGAAAUGACGGUACCUGACUAAGAAGCCCCGGCUAACCACGGGGCAGGAGACCGGGUUAUACGUAGGGGGCAAGCGUUAUCCGGAUUUACUGGGGGUAAAGGGAGCGUAGACGGCGAUGCAAGUCUGAAGUGAAAGGCGGGGGCCCAACCCCCGGACUGCUUUGGAAACUGUAUGGCUGGAGUGCAGGAGAGGUAAGUGGAAUUCGUAGUGUAGCGGUGAAAUGCGUAGAUAUUAGGAGGAACACCAGUGGCGAAGGCGGCUUACUGGACUGUAACUGACGUUGAGGCUCGAAAGCGUGGGGAGCAAACAGGAUUAGAUACCCGAGUAGUC